rnacentral:rRNA from 1 species
GACGAACCGUGCGAACGUUGUUCGGAAUCACUGGGCUUAAAGGGCGCGUAGGCGGGUUUUCAAGUCUGUGGUGAAAUCCUCCAGCUUAACUGGAGAAGUGCCGUGGAUACUGGAGACCUCGAGGAGGGUAGGGGCAUCUGGAACAGCCGGUGGAGCGGUGAAAUGCGUUGAUAUCGAUAGGAACUCCGGUGGCGAAGGCGGCAUACUGGACCACCUCUGACGCUGAGGCGCGAAAGCCAGGGGAGCAAACGGG